AGUCGACGAAAAUACCGAAUAGUUUACUGUGAGGUAUUUGAGUGGCNNNCGGGUGAGUAACACGUGGGCAACCUGCCUCAAAGAGGGGGAUAACACCGAGAAAUCGGUGCUAAUACCGCAUAACAUACAGAUACCGCAUGGUGACUGUAUCAAAGGAGCAAUCCGCUUUGAGAUGGGCCCGCGGCUGAUUAGCUAGUUGGUAAGGUAAAGGCUUACCAAGGCGACGAUCAGUAGCCGACCUGAGAGGGUGACCGGCCACACUGGAACUGAGACACGGUCCAGACUCCUACGGGAGGCAGCAGUGGGGAAUAUUGCGCAAUGGGGGAAACCCUGACGCAGCAACGCCGCGUGGAGGAAGAAGGUCUUCGGAUUGUAAACUCCUGUCUUCUGGGACGAUAAUGACGGUACCAGAGGAGGAAGCCACGGCUAACUACGUGCCAGCAGCCGCGGUAAUACGUAGGUGGCGAGCGUUGUCCGGAAUUACUGGGCGUAAAGGGCGCGUAGGCGGUUCUUUAAGUUAGAUGUGAAAACCCGAGGCUUAACUUCGGGACUGCAUUUAAAACUGAAGGGCUUGAGUGCAGGAGAGGUAAGUGGAAUUCCUAGUGUAGCGGUGAAAUGCGUAGAUAUUAGGAGGAACACCAGUGGCGAAGGCGACUUACUGGACUGUAACUGACGCUGAGGCGCGAAAGCGUGGGGAGCAAACAGGAUUAGAUACCCUGGUAGUCCACGCUGUNNACGAUGGAUACUAGGUGUGGGAGGUAUC
rnacentral:rRNA from 1 species